rnacentral:tRNA from 1 species
GGGCGGAUAGCUCAGUUGGCAGAGCAACGGCCUUACACGCCGUGGGUCGCAGGUUCGAGCCCUGUUCCGCCCACCA